rnacentral:tRNA from 1 species
GCUUCCAUAGUGUAGUUCGGUCAAGCAUUUGAGGCUCUCACCCUCAAGACUCGGGUUCAAAUCCCGAUGGAAGCA